rfam:Lachnospiraceae bacterium 2_1_46FAA genomic scaffold aclXT-supercont-complete, whole genome shotgun sequence.
CUGAAAGAUAGAGGUGCGUUUUUAAAGAGUACCGUUUAGUUUAAGUGGGACAGACUUCUAAAUGGGAAAGGGAAAGAUGCCGAAGGAUAAAUUCUUUGUCCGAGGAUUUAUUCUGGGACGUUGUAUAAGAUACAACGUACUGUCACAGAAGUGUGGAGCGCUAUCAUAGAU